AUCUUUAUUUACAAAUUUAUUUAAAACAAUAUUAUAUUAGUAAAAGAAUCGAAUUUAUUCAAGGUCUAAGUACUGAAAAGGAAAGUCUACUAAUUACAAAGAAGUUAUUGUUUGUACCUUUUGUAUCAGGGUUUAUGAAAUUUCAAUCUUUAUUGGCGCCUCCGGCAAAAUUCCCCCGGACAAGCCAAUGGUGAUCUAUAUUUGGUUAAAAGAAUGAAUUGUUUUCAUAAAUCUCUUUCGAGACCAAUAUCGUUUGCGAAAAAAUAUUUUCGUACCUUUUAUAUCUGGUUGGCAGAAUACUCCUUUUAGGGUACUCCGCAAGGAAGAUUUUUCUAGGGGGACGGAGGCUCUAGAAAGGAUUAUAUUUAUCCUUAUCAAGAAAAGACCGUGGACUAGGUCUUUAUCAGUCUGCCUCGGUCUUAGUUAGGCGCAUUGUUUAAGUCAGAAUGCAUUCAAUGUGCUCGCAUUAUUUGAAUUACGCUACUUGAUCCGGAUGCUACUUACAUAGAUUUAGCGAUCGACAGUGAUAGAAUUAGUAGAACUAUAAAUGCACUUAACACAAUAUUCCUCACAAAAUCCCAAAGGAAUUCGGCAAAACUCAUCUCCGCCUGUUUAACAAAGACAUCGCCUCUUAACUUUGGGAGGUCGAGCCUGCCCACUGAUGAAUUAAAGGGCCGUGGUAUACUGACCAUGCGAAGGUAGCAUAAUCAUUAGCCUUUUGAUUUGAGGCUGGAAUGAAUGGUUUGACGAGAGAUGGUCUGUCUCUUCGAUUAAAUUGAAGUUAAUCUUUAAGUGAAAAAGCUUAAAUGUACUUGGAGGGCGAUAAGACCCUAUAGAUCUUUACAUUUAAUUCUUUUGUCUUGCGGUAGGUAAUUAGACAGAGUAAAACAAUGUUCGGUUGGGGCGACGGUAAGAACAGAAUAAACACUUACAACAUAAACACAUCAAUAAAUGACCAUUGAUCCUUAGAUGAAUAAAGACCAAGUUACCUUAGGGAUAACAGCGUAAUUCUUUUUGAGAGUUCAAAUCGACAAAAGAGUUUGCGACCUCGAUGUUGGUUCAGGGACCCUACUCGGUGCAGCAGCCUAGAGAGGCAGUACGACGUAC
rnacentral:rRNA from 1 species